rnacentral:rRNA from 1 species
AAGGGCUCGUAGGUGGUUUGUCGCGUCGUCUGUGAAAUUCCGGGGCUUAACUCCGGGCGUGCAGGCGAUACGGGCAUAACUUGAGUACUGUAGGGGUAACUGGAAUUCCUGGUGUAGCGGUGAAAUGCGCAGAUAUCAGGAGGAACACCGAUGGCGAAGGCAGGUUACUGGGCAGUUACUGACGCUGAGGAGCGAAAGCAUGGGUAGCGAACAGGAUUAGAUACCCCAGU